AUGGAAUAUUUCAAACACCCACGAGACUUUUAUACCCUGGUCAGCGAUGACAGAAGUUCGUUCAACCCGCUUGGCACGCUGACCACCGUGACAGGCACAGCGUCUUUGGACCCAAAGUCUAACGGAAAGAUCAGCAUUGUGGCCUUCGCCUACAUAAUGCUUACAAACAUAUUGGGUUGUCUAAUAGCAAUAGCGCUGUUCUACGUCAUCAAGCCAGCCAUUCCUGAAAUGUUAAACGCUUCCGAGAACAAGAAUCACAUUGACAAGCGGGUCAGUCGAUUUGUCAUUCCUUUCUGUGUGACGCUUAACGCUGAUGGCAGCGCCCUCUUUAUUACAGCGGCGGCCAUGUUUAUCGCCAACAUUUCCGGUCACCCGUUGACGUUUGGAGAAGUCGCCAUUAUCGGCUUACUGACAGUCAUAGCCAGUCUUGCCCUGCCCUCUGUCCCUAGCUCAAGUAUCGUCACCCUCAUCAUGGUCCUGUCCUCAAUGAAUGUCCCCGUACAUGCUGUGUCCCUACUGUUUGCUGUUGAGUGGUUCUUGGAUCGAAUUAGAACAACUUCCAAUGUCUUAAGCCAUACUCACUGCGCGGCCAUCACGCAUCACUUUAACCGACAGGGUCCAGGAAAAACGGAAGAACCGGAAAUGAUUGAGCAGGAAGUAGAACUUAUAGUACAUUCACCAGAUGCGUACAACUCUUAAUCUUCCGGAUUGUGCAAUAUAAAUUACAACAAAUUACUGCCAG
rnacentral:sRNA from 1 species